rnacentral:rRNA from 1 species
UACAGAGGGGGCAAGCGUUGUUCGGAAUUACUGGGCGUAAAGGGCGCGUAGGCGGCCUGCUAAGUCAGACGUGAAAUCCCUCGGCUUAACCGGGGAACUGCGUCUGAUACUGGUUGGCUUGAAUCCGGGAGAGGGAUGUGGAAUUCCAGGUGUAGCGGUGAAAUGCGUAGAUAUCUGGAGGAACACCGGUGGCGAAGGCGGCAUCCUGGACCGGUAUUGACGCUGAAGAGCGAAAGCCAGGGGAGCAAACGGG